rnacentral:lncRNA from 1 species
CAGGGGCAGGGCCGGCGGGGAAACCCGCGCGCUCCCCGUGACUAGCAACGCCCGGGCCUGGCACCGCAUCCCGGCUGGGCUGUCCCGGCACCGCCGGUGGAGGGCCCGCGGGCGCCCCUGGGGAAAGGGCAUGUGGCAGGGCAGGAGCCUCGAGGGUUAGACGGGAGUCAUCCAAUUCCCCUAGCCCCAGGCACGUAUCCAGCAGCGCGGGCGGGGCCGGGGGCAGGGGCUGGCCGCAGGGAGCCUCGGGGCCGACGGGCACCGCUCCCGCCUGGCUCGGACUACAUCUCCCAGGCGCCCCGCUCCCUGCAAGCCCCGCCCCAACCCUUGCUGGCUCUCUGAUUGGCUGCCGCCUCAGCCGACUUCUUUCCGUCUCCCGCUCAUUGGUGGCUCCCGCUGUCGCUCGGGAGGUUGGGGAGUGCGGAAGCAGGAGCGGAGCGGAGGCUCUGCGGGCCGAUCCGGACUGGCCGAGCCCGCGGCGCCCCGGGCCCGCGCACAGCAUAAUGCCAGGAUUGAUUAAUGAAACGCAAUGUAGCAAGAGAGGUCUUAUGCCAUCAGGAAUAGUGCAGAUGAGUAAAAGCAGCAAGAUCCCCAAUGGGAAAGAUGACACCAGUAAUCCAUUCUAUUGGGGAUGCUUGAAAUAUAGAAAGGAGACCUCACAGAAAGCCAGGAUGUGUGCAGCUAUUUUUAACAAUGUUAAAUUACAUUCAAAAGUAAUGACAAGGUGA